ACUACGGGAGGCAGCAGUGGGGGAUAUUGCACAAUGGGGGAAACCCUGAUGCAGCGACGCCGCGUGAGUGAAGCAGUAUUUCGGUAUGUAAAGCUCUAUCAGCAGGGAAGACAAUGACAGUACCUGACCAAGAAGCCCCGGCUAACUACGUGCAAGCAGCCGCGGUAAUACGUAGGGGGCAAGCGUUAUCCGGAUUUACUGGGUGUAAAGGGAGCGUAGACGUUUAUGUAAUUCUGGAGUGAAAGCCCGGGGCUCAACCCCGGGACUGAUUUGGACACUGUGUAACUGGAGUACAGGAGGGGCAGGCGGAAUUCCUGGUGUAGCGGUGAAAUGCGUAGAUAUCAGGAGGAACACAGGCGGCGAAGGCGGCCUGCUGGACUGAAACUGACGUUGUGGCUCGAAAGCGUGGGGAGCAAACAGGAUUAGAUACCCUAGUAGUC
rnacentral:rRNA from 1 species